CCUACGGGUGGCAGCAGUGAGGAAUAUUGGUCAAUGGACGAGAGUCUGAACCAGCCAAGUAGCGUGAAGGAUGACUGCCCUAUGGGUUGUAAACUUCUUUUAUAUGGGAAUAAAAUGUUCCACGUGUGGGAUUUUGUAUGUACCAUAUGAAUAAGGAUCGGCUAACUCCGUGCCAGCAGCCGCGGUAAUACGGAGGAUCCGAGCGUUCUCCGGAUUUAUUGGGUGUAAAGGGAGCGUAGGUGGAUUGUUAAGUCAGUUGUGAAAGUUUGCGGCUCAACCGUAAAAUUGCAGUUGAAACUGGGAGUCUUGAGUACAGUAGAGGUGGGUGGAAUUCGUGGUGUAGCGGUGAAAUGCUUAGAUAUUAGGAAGAACUCCGAUGGCGAAGGCAGCUUACUGGACUGGAACUGACACUGAGGCUCGAAAGUGUGGGUAUCAAACAGGAUUAGAUACCCUGGUAGUC
rnacentral:rRNA from 1 species